rnacentral:rRNA from 1 species
AUUGAACGCUGGCGGCAGGCCUAACACAUGCAAGUCGAACGAGUGGCGGACGGGUGAGUAAUGUAUGGGGAACUGCCUGAUGGAGGGGGAUAACUACUGGAAACGGUAGCUAAUACCGCAUACCAUCGGAUGUGCCCAGAUGGGAUUAGCUAGUAGGUGGGGUAAAGGCUCACCUAGGCGACGAUCUCUAGCUGGUCUGAGAGGAUGACCAGCCCCACUGGAACUGAGACACGGCCCAGACUCCUACGGGAGGCAGCAGUGGGGAAUAUUGCACAAUGGGCGCAAGCCUGAUGCAGCCAGGCCGCGUGUAUGAAGAAGGCCUUCGGGUUGUAAAGUACUUUUGGCAGGGAAGCGUUAUCUGCAGAAUAAGCACCGGCUAACUACGUGCCAGCAGCCGCGGUAAUUC